rnacentral:rRNA from 1 species
UGGCGAACGGGUGAGUAACGCGUGAGGAACCUGCCUCAAAGAGGGGGACAACAGUUGGAAACGACUGCUAAUACCGCAUAAGCCCACGGGUCGGCAUCGACCUGAGGGGAAAGGAGCAAUCCGCUUUGAGAUGGCCUCGCGUCCGAUUAGCUAGUUGGUGAGGUAACGGCCCACCAAGGCGACGAUCGGUAGCCGGACUGAGAGGUUGAACGGCCACAUUGGGACUGAGACACGGCCCAG